UACGGGGGGGGCAAGCGUUGUUCGGAAUUACUGGGCGUAAAGGGCGCGUAGGCGGCCUUCUAAGUCGAACGUGAAAUCCCCGGGCUCAACCCGGGAACUGCGUCCGAUACUGGGAGGCUUGAAUCCGGGAGAGGGAUGUGGAAUUCCAGGUGUAGCGGUGAAAUGCGUAGAUAUCUGGAGGAACACCGGUGGCGAAGGCGGCAUCCUGGACCGGCAUUGACGCUGAGGAGCGAAAGCCAGGGGAGCAAACGGG
rnacentral:rRNA from 1 species